CGGUGUCUCUGGUCACUCUGCAG
rnacentral:miRNA from 1 species